rnacentral:tRNA from 1 species
UCUAAUGUGGCAGAUUAAGUGCUAUGAAUUUAAGAUUCAUUUAUAAAUAUGCAUAUUUCUUUAGAA